rnacentral:rRNA from 1 species
ACGGGAGGCAGCAGUGGGGAAUAUUGGGCAAUGGGCGAAAGCCUGACCCAGCAAUGCCGCGUGAAGGAAGAAGGUCUUCGGAUUGUAAACUUCUUUUAUGAGGGACGAAGGAAUUGACGGUACCUCAUGAAUAAGCCACGGCUAACUACGUGCCAGCAGCCGCGGUAAUACGUAGGUGGCAAGCGUUAUCCGGAUUUACUGGGUGUAAGGGGCGCGUAGGCGGGGAAGCAAGUAAGAUGUGAAAUCUAUGGGCUUAACUCAUAAACUGCAUUUGAAACUGUUUCUCUUGAGUGCUGGAGAGGUAGAUGGAAUUCCUAGUGUAGCGGUGAAAUGCGUAGAUAUUAGGAAGAACACCAGUGGCGAAGGCGAUCUACUGGACAGUAACUGACGCUGAGGCGCGAAAGCGUGGGGAGCAAACAGGAUUAGAUACCCUGGUA